rnacentral:rRNA from 1 species
GGAAGGUGCAAGCGUUACCCGGAAUUAUUGGGCGUAAAGCGUCCGCAGGGCGGGUUUAUUAAGUUGGGGUGUUAAAUUUCUCAGCUCAACUGAGAAACUAUACCCAAAACUGGUAAACUAGAGUAAUGCAGAGGUACGUGGAAUUCUGUGUGUAGGGGUAAAAUCCGUAGAUACACAGAGGAACACCAAAAGCGAAGGCAGCGUACUGGGCAUUUACUGACGCUCAGGGACGAAAGCGUGGGUAGCGAACGGGAUUAGAUACCCCGGUAGUCCACGCCGUAAACGAUGGAUACUAGGUGUUGAGGGACUCGACCCCUUCAGUGCCGACGCUAACGCAUUAAGUAUCCCGCCUGGGGAGUACGGUCGCAAAGAUUAA